GAGGAGAGCGAGAGUGAAAGAGAGGUAUAGAGAGACAGAGAGAGGAUGUGCUAGAGAAAAGGGAAAUAGAGAACUCGAUCGAGAGUCGGGUUGGAGUUCACCCAAAGAUAAGUUUCCAAUUGCGCGGAGGAACCACUUUUUAAUAUCGGGGAUCAGCUUGGAGGACUUGGUAGGAACCUUAGUUAUUUAAUAGAUAUCCUUUCUGUAUAGAAUGGACUUUAGAAUGUUCCGACCUGAAGAUUUUGUUUAGUUGUAUCACUGAUGUGAGAGCGGAAAAGAAAUCUUUGGAUAAGUGUAUAUACCUAUUAGAGUUGAUGGAUUGGUUAUAUACUUUGGAAAUUUAUGAGAAGUAAGUUUUUAUGUGAUAA